rnacentral:rRNA from 1 species
CAGCCAUGCCGCGUGUGUGAGGAAGGCCUUCGGGUUGUAAAGCACUUUCAGCGAGGAGGAAGGUGGUGAGCUUAAUACCCUCAUCAAUUGACGUUACUCGCAGAAGAAGCACCGGCUAACUCCGUGCCAGCAGCCGCGGUAAUA